rnacentral:lncRNA from 1 species
GAAUAAUGAUUAAGAAUAUCAGAGAAAUAUGGCAGUUGUCUGAAACAUUUUAUCCAUUUACUACGUUUAUAUCUCAGUUCUGGAAUUUGGUAUUGGCUAAUUUAUGCCAGAUGCAACUUUAUAAUGAGGGUGUAUUGUAAAAUCAAAACAAGUUUCAUUUAUGCUAAAGGAAAUGAAUAUCUGAGAUAGAAACAACAGAUGAACAUCAAUCUGCAACCACGAGUAAAUGAUGAAAUAUGAAAAAAACAAAUUGUUAAUAAACAGUACAUCUACAACUGUAAAUAAAAAUGCAACUUCAAGAUAUAUAGUAGAAAGGUUGUAAACUUCUUUUUACAAAUUAAUGGAAAAAACAGCAAAAAAUGAAUGAUCAAAAUCAAAGCUUAUACCUUGGUGUACACAGUUGGUCUUUUGACCAAAAGAAGGCCAAUUAAGCAGGAAAAGAUAUUUAAUCGUAAAUAUGCGUGGUGUAGGGAAUGUUUAAUUUGGUGCAACUGCACUGAGGUAAAUCACAUUUUGUCAAUUUACUAAAUUAUCAACUCAUCUGUGUUCAUGCUCGUCUGUCCCAAAUGCCAUGUGAUAUAUUGCAAUUUCUCUCUCUGUAUAUAGAUAUAAGAAGAUGUGGUAUGAGUGCCAACGAGACAACUCUCCAUUCAAGUCACAAUUUAUAAAAAGUUCACACAGAGCCUUGGCACUCACCAAACAGCAAGCUAUAAGAGGCUCCAAAAAUUACUAGUGUAAAACUAUUCAAACUGGAAAAUCUAAUCUAUAUAAAAAAUGAAUAUCAAGUGGAAGCACCGUCUUUGCUUGCCCUUGUAAGCUUUGACAAAAAAUGUCCCUGAAACCAAUGGACCAAUUUAAACCAAACUCUAAACUAAAUCUUCAGCAUAACAUUUGCUUAAUUUUUGGACCAGCCAUUCAACAUACAUGGUUGAAAUAGAAAAUCAAGGUUAAAUACAUUUAUUGUCCAGUAUCUCAUUAAACUCAAAAUGGAUUAGUAAUACGUGAUCUACAAAGAUGCAAAAUUGUUUGAAACCAUUUGAUGACUUCUUACAGUAGUUAUUUCCUUGAAUUGACAAUUGUGACAGGUGAUCGAUUCAGGCUCUCAGGAGCUGCUUUUUGUCGAUAUAUCUGGCUGUUUUUAUAACAUUUUAUCCACCAGCUGAUUUGAAGAUAUUUAGCAAGGGAUCUUGAACUUAAACUUAGGUAAGGCAUUUAGAUGAAGUGUUUUCUGUCAGCUUUUUUACAGCGUCUUUUAUCAUGUUGGCACAUCUAGUUUAUGGAAGUCUAAUUAUUUGUUGUGUGUAAUAAAUAUUUUUUUGGAAAAAAAAGGCUGUCCCUAAGUUAAUAAAAACAUUAAAAGGACAAGAAAAUGACACUAAAAAAUGCAUAAUAUAAAGUAAGCUUUAAAGGGACUCGGGGUACACAUGAUGUUAUGUCUUGCGCUAACAAUAAAUGUAAUAUAUGAAUUAUAGUGAGACGAUGGUGUGUAAUUCAAAGGUGCAGCAUAUGAAAAACAAACAAAAGCCAUUUAGACAUGACAUAAAUCGUAUUGAGGGCAGAUGUAUGAUUCAAUAACAAUAAAGCAAGUCUUCGAUAAAGAAUUUCAUUCAAAAUAAUUUUCUGUGAUAUUUGAGUUGAUGUGGAAACAGAUUCUAAACGGGUAAAUGAGACUAAAAGUAUAGCCACUCACUUUGAAGACCGUAACUUUUCGAUGUAAUAUAUUUAAUUCUAGUAAGAUCAUGUUGAAAAUUUGAUCCUAUCCACAGUUUGGUAUAAUACAUAAUCUGGUAUUGUAUGGAACAUUGUGAGGUGUCUGUUUACAUUGUAAUGUCCUUCAAAUACUGAUAAUAUUAUGGUUCAACCGCAAAUACUGAUGGGUCUUCCAUUUUCAUAAAAAAAAAAAGUUUUAAUACAAUGACAAAGACUGUUAAAUUGGUAUUGCUAAGCACGCGCCAUUAAAGAGUAAGAUCAACGACUGGUCAGCUCGAAACCGAGGGUGGCAUGUCGUCCAGCGCACUUUUAACUUGUGAACAAGCACGUAAACAAAUCCGAUGCAGCAUGUUGGUUGAGCAGUGUUCAUAUUAGUGUUGAUAUCGCUCAUUUACAUGUCCUCUUCCGGAAAUAGGCAAUUAAUUUGCCACUGGACAUUAAUCAGCAACCCAUCCUUUCAUCAACUUUCCUCACAAAAAUAAUACAACGCUGUUGGUCUACACUUUAACUCUCUACUUUCUCUCAGAAAUGCAUUUGAAUUAGCUUUAUACGUCCUAGUUUCAGAAGCAUUUGUUAUAUCACUUACAUUCCAUCAUUAACAACAUCUUUCGGACAGCGCGGUUAGUAAAAUUUUGAUUUCCGUAAUUUACCAGUUACAAAUGGCAUUUCAUCUCUUCAAAAAUCAGUACGAUACAACCUGUACAAUGUAUUAAUCCCUAGGUUACCAUGACCUAUAUCUUACGCCUGCGAACUUGGUUUAUAUAGUUUAAUGAUGCCUUUUAUAUCUUUGAGUUUUGUUGAAAUAUUGUCCCAAGAUUUAUAACAGCAAUAUCAUUGACUAGACAGUCGGUGUCGAUUGAAUAUGUUUGUGCCCCAUUGGAAGUGUAAGUUAGCAUAUAAGAAAAAUCAACAUUGUAUGUGCAAUCAUCCAACAUUUUUCAUUGGAGCUAGAUGAUAACGGUCUAUCUCAAAGAUUAACACCAGAAAUAUAUAAGACUAGUUGGAAACAGUUCACGUUGGGAUUCGGCAGAACCCAGAAUCAUGCUUGUUCAAAUUGGAGAUUAAAUAUCUACUUUAAUCUUCUAUAAGAAUUGGAAUAUUCAGAUUUGAUCAAAGUUAUUUUUUACCAUCUUUUUAGGUUGCGUGUUCGGAGAUACGCCAAAAUAUUGUUGAAGACUGAAUUUUAAAAUAAAAAAAAAAAGAAACAAUUGCGUUUAACGUUUGCUGAGCAAAACAUAAAAAAAAAUUGUUUUGAUUUUCAGCAACAAAAAUAUUUGAUCUUUAAAUAGGCUGUUAAUUCUUUGAUUCAUUGCAGUAAAGAAACAAGACUACAAAAAAUGGACACCCAUGCCAACGAUCGCUCAAUACUUUUACCUUCAAAAUAUAUACGAUUCUCUGUUGCCGAUUGGUCUAAGUCAGAUAUCACUAGCCUGUCGACGCUGAUGUUGUGAAUUCGAAGACCGCACAUUGGUGGUGCGUUCGGCUCCAAUCGAAAUUGACUAAGAUUGACAGUUUUUAUACGCCCGUCGUCUUUUAGACGGGACGUAUUAUGGUAUACCGUUGUCCGUCCGUCUGUCUGUCCGUCGUCCGUCUGUCUGUCCGUCCGUCCGUCCGUCGUCCACACUUCGGACAAUAACUCAAAAACACUUUCACCAAUUUCCAUGAAACUUAAGUGAAUUGUUUAUAUCUAUUGACGUAAGCUCCCUUUCGUUUUUUUUUUAAUUUCAGAUUUUAAGUUUUGGAUUUAUGGGGCUUUAUUCAUAAAAAAAGGGGGG